AGACAGAAAGAAACUUAUUAUACCGAUAAGAAAUCUUACUCCCCUAAUUAUAUCAGACCAACCCAUGCCCACAUGGGAGAGAUUAUGCUAAAAUGAGUAACAAGAAGACCUGGAUCUUCUCCCGCCACAAGUGUAGACCCGAUCGGACAAGCCGCUGGAAUUUAACGAACCCAACCCAAGAGGGCAGUGUGAAUAGUAAAAACCCCGAGAAGAGCUCACACUAAAUAAUCGUUAACCCCACACUGGAGUGCCAUUUUAAGGGAAAGACUAAAGGAAGGGGAAGGAACUCGGCAAACACAAGCCUCGCCUGUUUUCCAAAAACAUCGCCUCCUGCAACUAAAUUGAGUAUAGGAGGUCCG
rnacentral:rRNA from 1 species